GCUGCAAUAUAACAUAUAUACUUUCUGAAUACUUUCCGUACCCACUGUAGUCUUAGUAUGUCAUGGAAUGUUGUCACAGACUCUUUAAUGUUUCAUUUUUCAGAUGAUGAUAAGCCUUUCACUCGGAGUGGAGUCUUAUCUACCAUGAAUGGCUUGUAUGACCCCUUUGGAUUGCACCUGUUACUAUACAAGGGAGGUUACCAUUGAGGGAACUUACCAAACAGGCGAAGAAAAUUUAAGGACAUCCAGGCCUUAACAUCUGCUUGACAACCCACCAAAGUAUCCCAACCCAAAUGAUCAGAUCCCAGGGGCAGAUAAAUUUGGGUAUCAUCAGCGUAACAGUGGAAGGAGAUACCGUGUUUCUUAAAAAUUGACCCCAGGGGAAGCAUAUACAAGGAAAAUAAAAUCGGUGCGAGAAUGGAACCUUGGGGGACACCACACAUAAGAGGAGCAGCAUACGAAGUAAAUUCUCCAAUACCGACAGAGAACCUUCUGUUAUUAAAAUAGGAUUGAAACCAUUUAAGGGCAUUUCCCUGAACGCCCACCCAGUGCUCCAAACGAGAGAGCAGAACAGAAUGGUCAAUAGUAUCGAAUGCCGCACUCAAGUCUAACAGCACUAACACAGCAGAUUUGCCAGAGUCGAGAGUCAGUAAAAUGUCGUUUAGAACUUUAACCAGUGCUGUUUCUGUGGAAUGUUUUUCUUAAAACUUGAUUGGAACACUUCAAAAAUAUUGUUAUUAAACAGAAAGCUCUCCAGUUGGUGAAACGCUAUUUUUUCUAAAAUUUUUGACAUAAAAGAAAGAUUUGAAACUGGCCUAAAAUUAGUCAGCAUUGUCAGGUCUAAAUUAGGCUUUUUGAGAAGUGGAUAGACAAUGGCUUCAUAUCAUCUGGAACCAUAGCUGUUUCGAGACAGCAGUUCAUAAUCUUUAAAACAGUAGGCCCAAUCACCUCAAAGACUUGUUUAAAAAAUCGUGGGGGAAGAACAUCAUGGGGGAUCCAGAAAGUUUAAGCUGGCUUACAAUAUCUUGUAAAGCCAGCAGAGUUACAGGCUCAAACAGACUCGGGAUGCUGGUACAGGAUGGGGGAACAGAAGGAUCAUGUCAAGAAAAGGGGAUAUUUAGCCUGAUAUCUCUUAUCUUGUCCACAAAAAAAUUAAGAAAUUUGUCACACAUGGCUAGAGUCUCUGUAGGGAAGAGACCAACUGAGGAGUUAACAGCAGCAUUAAUAGUGGAAAAAAGUGCUCGUGGAUUGUGAUGAUUCUUUUCAAUCAGAUCUGAGAAGUACUUAAACUUUGAUGUUUUAACCGCUUUCUGAUAUUGUAUCAGAUUGUCCCUUAGUAUUUCAUAUGAUACUUGCAGCUUAUCUUUUUUCCAUCUUCUUUCGGCCCUUCUACAGACCUGUUGAAGAGCACGAGUAUCAUUAGCCAGGGCUCAGAUUUUGGUUUAUGUCGGUUGGCUUUUAUGGGAGCCAAGGAGUUUAAAAUAUUUGCAGAGAUAAUGUUGAAAUGAUUAAGACAAUCCACACCACUCCAAUUAUCACAAAGUAAAUCAGAAGAUUGAGACACCUCCUUAAAAGCAGCUGAAAACUCAGAACAGGUAGUUGGCGUGAUCAUACGAGACCAUCGAACAGCCUUAGUAGGUCUUGUAAUAUUAAAGCUGAUGGGGACUCUAAAUGUAACGGGCUUGUGAUCAGAAAUAACAUGGUCAUCUAUUGCAACAUCACAGACUGAUAGGCCAUGUGAAAGCACUAGAUCAAGAGUGUGACCAUGGACAUGAGUGGGAAAAUUCACAAGCUGUAUCAAAUCAAAAGAGUCAAUAAGGCUCAGAAAUUCUUUGGCUAAUAUAUUAGCUGGGCAACACACAUGUAUAUUAAAAUCCCCCAGAAUUAAAAGUCUAUCAAAAUUGGGGAUAAUGCUCCCUAAAAAGUCUGAAAACUCAUUAUUAAAGUCUUUGCGAGGUUUAGGUGGACGAUAGAUGACUGAAAUCGCCAUUGGAUUAUCCAAUUCCAAAACAAAUAACUGAAGUUCAAAACUAGAAUAGACAUCAGUCGUUAACAUCCAACAACAACAGUUCUGUUUAAAGUGCAUAUUGCAGAUUAAUUUUUUUUUCUCAAGAUGAAUAUAUAACCUUGUACGAAAAUACAAUAUAAAAAGGUACUGCAGGAUUUAAAAAUGCUUUGCAGGACAUAAGGGCACAAAUUUGGUAGAUAAAGCGACGGUCUCUGUAAAAAACGCUUUUUUUUUUUCAACGUUGCGUCAUUUUACGUCACGAGAGGAAGUCAGUCACCGAGCUCUUUGUUGACUCAGUGCAGGUUGGUAUUCAGUAACAGCGGUCGUGAAUCAGUGUGUUUUCGGUAGUUUUUGUAUUUUAAUUUAUCAUUGUCAUGGCGAAUUAUUGUGUUUGUGGAGGUUGCACAAACUCCAGCCUGUCAGGACAUCGAGUCCAGAGGUUUACUAACAAGAAAAAGGAUGGUGCUAUCUUCCGUGCCGGGGUGUGUUUUGUGCAGGUGAAGAGACGGGACUUUCACUUCUACAUCUGCUUCGAAAAACGCGUUCACUUUAGACCGGAGGAUUAUCAUCCCGGCUAUAUGAUGGAGUUCAACAUUGUAAUACUACUGUAAAUGAUGAUAUUAAAUGAAUAAACUUACACACGUGAUGCUUCUUCACCAUUUUUACGUGAAUCAUUUUCAACACUGGUGAAUGCAAAUUAUGUACACAAAUGCAUACAGUCUCACACUCACACAAAACAGUUUUGAAUUAUGUGCUGGUAAUGUAAAUACUCAAUUUCAUUCAUGCCAUGUAUGUACACUCAAGUUCACUCAACUACAUACUCACGACAUCAUACAUCCUCACACUAUCAGUGAAUCGGCACGGAAUAAACAUAACACAGAAUUAAUGAAUAAAGGAUAACAUGAAACCCAUACAAUAACACUAUGCUGUCUGUGGUUCGCCGGCGGGAGACAUGAUGGUCAUGGAUCCAUCAGAGAUGCAGCUCGACGAAAAUGUGAAUUGUGCACCGUGGAGUCAAUUUGCAACGUAUUCUGAGGGGAGAAGCACAUGGAACGAUUUCUUAAGAUUAAAAUGUUUGAAGACUACACAAUGGAUCUGUUUUGUGGAAUGAGAUAUGCAUUGGAAAUAUCAAUGCAGAGUUCAAUCACAUCACAAUCAGAAACCUCAAUCAAGAAUUCUUCUCAGCGCUUUAUCAACUUGCAGCUUGAUUUCUGGAAAUUUGUGCAACAAAGAAAGUGGCAGUUGAAAAGAGAGUUUCUUGCGCAAAUUAAAUCUAUGCACUGUCAUCACUGCUAAGUGCACAGUUCUUCAUGGCUUUCCUCUUAUUCUUAGAGAAGAAACCUCUGAUUUUUUUUUAAACAGUGCUAGUGUAACGGAUGCCAGCUAGUAGUCGCUGUGCGAGUAAACCUCACUUCUCUGAUCUCAAGAGAUGCUCUAGCAACUGACACUGAAGGUUGCAGCCUAUAGCCUCCUUGUUAGAGCGUCCGACUCCCAUGCCGGAGACCCAGGUUCGAGGCCCAUGCAGAGCGGGGCCAGUAGGAUCUGGGCUAGAGGGGUUACACUGACAGGACUGCGAUUGUGACACACCCUUCUUGAGGAUUCUGACCGUGAUAACAGAAGACAGCCAGGAUUCUUCCUCCACAAGAACUACAUUUGGAGUCUUCAUGCACAGCAUUAUUCUAGACUGAGCCAUUGUCAUGGAUGAACUUGAAAACCUUCCAGGUGCCAUGUGGCUAAUUUUUGGGCUGAUAUGUGUCAAAUUUUGAGUUUUUCUUUCCCUUGGACACAAUUCUCUGAAACCAAAACUACAUUCACUUAAAACCCUUCUGUUGAUGUAAGCAAAGGUUGUUUGAGAUCGUUAAAGGCUUAGUUCACCCAAAAAUGUAAAUUCUGUCAUCAGUUUUUCACUCUCAUGUUGUUUGACUUUGGUUAGUCUUUCAAACACAAAUUUAGAUAUUUUUAAAGAAAACAGGCUGGAAAACUUUUUGGAUCUUUUAAGUUUUGGUUACCUGGACUUUCAGUUGGAGGGACAGAAACCUCUCAGAUUUCAUUAAAAAUAUCUUCAUUUAUGUUUCAAAGUCUAACCAAAGUCUUAUGGGUUUGUGACAUCAUGAGGGUGACUAAAUGAUGAGAGAAUUUCAUUUUUUUUUUUUUUUUUGUGAACUAUCUCUUUAAUCUUGUGGUUGCACUAAAGUCAACAUUCUUUUUAAUUAAAGUGUUAAAUUGUCACCUGCCAAAGUUUUUGUCAAAAUUAAGCUAACAUUGAUUUUUGUUUCAUGGUCAGCUAUUCAGUUUCUUGUCAAAAGACUGUUAGUAUUAUUGGUUUAUUCAUCAGUCAUGAUUUGUAAUCCAUAUUGUUACAUUAAUGAAAAAUGUUUAGAAUUUAGGGGUGCCAGAAUGGCAUUGUUUGGUACAUUGUAGUGUCUGAAGAAAAUUGAUGAGCAAUAAAUAAUGUUUUGCCUAAGAUCUGUUGUUGCUUUUUGUCUUAACUUAUAUUUUUUAGUUCAGCUUACUUGAAAAUUUUAAGGCAAUCGGUUUCCUAAGAUUUUCCUAGUAAUGUGAACACUAGUAAUAAGUUAACCCAACUAAUGAUUUUGAGUUAACAGAACUUAACCAACAAGUUCUCUUUACUUAACUGAAUUAAGUUAUGACAACUAAAAAUUAAUACACUACUUUACUGGUUUAAUACACUACUAGCCUGGUUUCUCCCAAGGUUUUUUUCUCCAU